CGGCGUAUGGGAUAGCCUGGCAAAUCCGCCUGCUUCGGGAGCAGGAGAUCGUUGGUUCAAAUCCAACUACGCCGA
rnacentral:tRNA from 1 species